rnacentral:pre_miRNA from 1 species
GAUUUCAACUAAAAAAGUCAUCAACAACAAAGUUGUAUAACUAAUCGAGAUAUAUAACUUUUAUUUUAGUCAUUUCUUAAUCUAACAAAGUGAUAGUAACAUUGUUUAUAAAAUUUACACAUCUCUUAUAUGGUUUUAUAAAAUAAAAUAGAGAUACGCAAUUUUUGUGAAAAUGUUACUAUCACUUUGUUGGAUGAAGAAAUGAACAAAAUAAAAGUUAUAAAUCAUGAUGAGUUAUACAACUUUGCUGUUGAUGACUUUUUCAGCUGAAAUU